rnacentral:rRNA from 1 species
UUAAACUCCUGUCAUUUGGGAACAAGGCUCUGAAGAGUAACUGCUUCGGAGUUGAUAGUACCAGAAGAGGAAGGGACGGCUAACUCUGUGC